UCUGUCAGAGGCGGACUGGCUGGCUACAUAUCUGUCUCUGGAACAAUAGGUACCUGUAUUCUGCACGGACUGCUGGGCAAAGCCAGCACUCUGGAGAAGGUCUGCCUCUGUCUGCGCCUUCCUGGUUUAAUGCAGACAGAUGAGUGUCACAGCUGUAACUGAAGCACAGAAAAAUAAUCAACAUAUCCGAGCCAAUUCCCAUGAUGGCAAGAGGGGGGACCAGAGGAGGUGACCACGAUGACAAGACCAUUCUUCCGACAAGUUUUAGCACUGACGAUCCUCAGGAAAAUGAGAUACAGAAGUGACGCCCUCCUCGAACUAAAAGGCUCAGGCUCAUGGAGUGAGUGAGGAGGUGCUUUAACAGCAGCCAUUGCACUCUGCACAGGAUGGCUGCAGGGAAUGUAUUCAGACAUGCCCCAGAGACAGCUGCCCAGGGUGACUGAGGCACCUCUGAGAUUGAAACCAGAAAGGAAGGAGAGGCUGUUUCUACAGGUGUCACAGAAAAAAUCGAUACUGAGCCACAGAUUAUUGGAUCCCAUAGAACCGUGGAGACUUGGCAGUGAAAUUCUUCCAAAGUUUCCUCUGGAUGUCUGAAAGUUGAAAGGAAAAAAACAACAAAGCUGUUCCUAAGUCCUUGGUUUUACCGCAUCACUUAGCAGUCCAUCUGCGCAGGCAGAGGUGUUCCUGGUUUGGCAACUCUAAAUCCUGUGUUAAGGCAGCUGAAGAACAUUUUACACAUCGCUCAUCCUAUUAUGAGCUGCUCUUCCGUCUCUCAACAAGUCUAAACUUUUUAGAUUGGCUGAAACACUAAAGGCUGCGUACAAUCUUUACUGAAACUUGGUCACCUACACAGUAUGCUGACUCUGGUUGUACCCCGUGUCACUGUUCUGUGCAAGACAACCCACCAGAGGGCACAGAAUUGUUCACAGAAUAAUGGAAAGUUUUUGGAUUUUCCAUUUAAUGAGCUAAAGGACAGAAGUAGCAAUAAGGCUGCCUGGCUACAUUUUCACAGUGCCACCAACUGCGAGUUAAGCUGACAAACAUUUUGAGAGCUCGGCCCAUUUCAUUCACAGCAGGAUAGCAGCGGGUGACUGAUUGUCCCUGCCAGCUGGCUAAUAUCAUAAUUAACAAAGUUGCUCCCACAUCUGCAAAGUUUAAUCGAAAAAUUUACCAGUGGUAUGAUGGCAUUGUCACCAAGAUCACAAGGGACUCGGAGUCGGCUUCUGCUCCAGGUGGAACGGCAGGGCUGUGUAGCCGAGAGGAGAAAGUGGUGUACUUGUUCAGCCGAAGCGUGCCCACCCUGCACACAGAGCCUCAUCUAUUUCUUGACCAAUACAUUCACAGAUGAUAUCCUCCUACUGUCCCAUGGAUGAAGGUUAUGCUUCGCAUCACCCACCAGGGAGGAUCAUCUCUCAUGAAAACUUUCAAAUUUGAUUUUGAAAAUUUAUUCAGAAAAAAAUUUAAGCCACGCUUUUUCCCAACACAAGAAAUGAUAUGCUCCAGAGAAUCCUCUAAUUCACAGAAAAUGGACUGGGAUAACAUUUGGGUUCUCAUACUACCACAAUCCUCUUGAGAAGGACAGCCAGGAGGCUAAUAAUGAAGGGGCCAGGGAUGGAGGCCAAUGCUACAAGGGUUAUCUCUCAACCUCAGAUGUUGGAUAAGUCGAAGGAGGCAGAAUCGCUUCUGGAUGAUGUUCAGAAAGGCUGGAGUGAUUAUUUGGAAGAGAAAAGCCUGCCUGUUCUUUCAAAGGUACGCGAAUGCUGCCGAGGCCUUCCCACCUAAGAGUGCAGCCUUAGAAUCCUGCCUUAGACAAAGGACGCACGGGAGCUCCACCACACCUAAAACCACGCUUUGAAGGAUCUGCCAAGCUCACUCUUAAUCAUGAGAAAGAAAUUACCCACAUGGAGACAGCAGAAAAUGAGAAAGUAGAGAUCGUGCUGAGAAUAAUUCCAGCGAGUGCCAAGGGGCUAGUUGAGGAAUGGCUUCAUGAGGUCUUUCUUCUGAAACAAAGAAGAAAUAGACAAACCAGAUUUGUCCUCUUGGAAAUGUGGUCCAGAUUUCUCUACUCCCAAUCUCCAAAAAUAAAGGUAUACUUUGCAUGGGCUAGCUCCAUACCUAGAUCUAAAGAUCCCAUAAAGGCCUUUUUGCCUUUACAGGUCUAAUAUAGUGAAAAGGCCUUUGAAGCUUUGAAGGGGGUUGGGUUGUGAAAUCUUCACCAAGUCAACAAUGUGACAGGGCCAUGUGAAAUAAAUUGUUGGACUCUCUCCUUGUCUUUAAAAAUGGGGGAGGGGGAGGGAUGACACCAACAUUGUUAUAAGGAUUAAAUGAGAUAACACAUCUGUAUUUUGCCUGACAAAGUAUUGGGCCUUGAGUUUGUUUUAAAAAGCUCAUGAAAUAUUAGUUUUUCUCCCUUCCCCCCUUCCUGUUCCUGUCUUUCCCUACCUCCCUGACUCCUACCCUUUCCUUCUUCAGAUCUUACUCUUUCUAGAACACCACCUUUGGAUCUAAGCUGGACCUUUGAGAAAGAAGAGACUUCAGUGAAAGACCCCUUUACAUACAGUUUAAUUUCCUUUUAUCUGAACUGCUUAAUACCUACUAUCCAACUGUAUUCAUCUUUUCUGCCUCUUGUGUAUUUUUUUUUCUGAACUGCUUUAAUAUUGACUAUUGAACUACCUAGUCAUUCUGAAAUUUUAAAAGAGAACUCUAAUAAAAAGCUUA